UUGGAAGUAAAAAGUCGUAACAAGGUUUCCGUAGGUGAACCUGCGGAAGGAUCAUUAUUGAAUUAAUGUAGAGUUUGGUUGUAGCUGGCUCCUAAUUAAACUUGGGGGCAUGUGCACACCUUUCUCUUUCAUCCCAUACACACCUGUGCACCUGUGAGACAGAUGUUUUGUGGGGGGGAAGGAACUUUAUUGGACCUUCUACUCCCCCUUGACUUCUGUCUACUUAAUUCAUAUAAACUCAAUUUAUUUUAAAACGGAUGUAAUGGAUGUAACACAUCUAAUACUAAGUUUCAACAACGGAUCUCUUGGCUCUCGCAUCGAUGAAGAACGCAGCGAAAUGCGAUAAGUAAUGUGAAUUGCAGAAUUCAGUGAAUCAUCGAAUCUUUGAACGCACCUUGCGCUCCUUGGUAUUCCUUGGAGCAUGCCUGUUUGAGUAUCAUGAAAUCUUCAAAGUCAAACCUUUUGUUAAUUCAAUUGGUUCUGCUUUGGUAUUGGAGGAUUAUUGCAGCUUCACACCUGCUCCUCUUUGUGCAUUAGCUGGAUCUCAGUGUUAUGCUUGGUUCCACUCAGCGUGAUAAGUUAUCUAUCGCUGAGGACACCCUGUUAAAAAGGGGUGGCCAAGGUAAAUGCAGAUGAACCGCUUCUAAUAGUCCAUUGACUUGGACAAUAUCUAAUUUAUGAUCUGAUCUCAAAUC
rnacentral:rRNA from 1 species